rnacentral:rRNA from 1 species
GAUGAACGCUGGCGGCGUGCCUAAUACAUGCAAGUCGAGCGAAUGGAUUAAGAGCUUGCUCUUAUGAAGUUAGCGGCGGACGGGUGAGUAACACGUGGGUAACCUGCCCAUAAGACUGGGAUAACUCCGGGAAACCGGGGCUAAUACCGGAUAACAUUUUGAACCGCAUGGUUCGAAAUUGAAAGGCGGCUUCGGCUGUCACUUAUGGAUGGACCCGGGUCGCAUUAGCUAGUUGGUGAGGUAACGGCUCACCAAGGCAACGAUGCGUAGCCGACCUGGGAGGGUGAUCGGCCACACUGGGACUGAGAAACGACCCAGACUCCUACGGGAGGCAGCAGUAGGGAAUCUUCCGCAAUGGACGAAAGUCUGACGGAGCAACGCCGAGUGAGUGAUGAAGGCGUUCGGGUCGUAAAACUCUGUUGUUAGGGAAGAACAAGUGCUAGUUGAAUAAGCUGGCACCUUGACGGUACCUAACCAGAAAGCCACGGCUAACUACGUGCCAGCCGCCGCCGUAA